GGUUGGAGACACUUUUCUUGUAAAGUUCAUUUGAUUGAUGGGUAGGGAAUUUUGUAUGGUAAUCUGCUUUGCGGUCAAAUGACUAAGAAUAUGGUGUUGGACUGAUUGCAGGGAGUGGUCGCCUGGUGGGACCGCGCCGCAGCAACAGCUGUCCGUGGUGACUACCGUCUGGGGAGUGACUUCCUCGACUCAGUCGGCCCCGCAGAACUUCGGCUCAAGUCUGGCGACGAGCGGAUUCGCUCAUCAGCCGACCGGGAUCAGCGCCGCCAAGCAAGCCUCCAACUACCCCGGAUACCGACAAUCCACAGGGGGUAGCGGCGUGGGUGGAUAUGGAGGAGAGUACAACCACCCCCGACGUCGGCACUGAACAACGCCAUGGUGGCUGCUGCCGCCACCGCCACCGCUACCGCCACUGCUAGCGUUGUCGCACUCCAGGAGCGGCAAGACAUGAACAACCAGUUCGUCCAGAUGCAAGGAGGGCAACAGUACGGGUCAAGUUACGGAAACCAAAGAGGUCACGGGCCGAUGAGCGGUCCUAAUUCCAUGGGUCCCAUGAACGGGAUGAACGGAAUGAACGGAAUGAACGGGAUGAACGGGAUGAACGGGAUGAACGGCAUGAACGGCAUGAACGGGAUGAACGGGAUGAACGGGAUGGGAAUGAUGGGGCAAAACUCUAGUCCUCUUCACAGCGGUAUGAUGAACUCCGGAAUGGGUGCUGGCCCAGGCAUGAACAAAAUGGGCAUGCAGGUAACUAUGCUGUAAUUUCUUCUUCUGUUCGUGUUAUUUUCGGCGCUACGAAGCCCUCCAGCAGGCUGAUUGUUGACAUUGGUAGAAAUAUCUAUAGACAAAGAAGAAAAUUAAAUUAAUGAACCAGGUGGUGCUCUUAUGCCAACUUUCGAAGAAUUAAAGACAUUUUUUCAAAGUUUUACAGUCUUUGAAAAUGAGCUGUUUGUGUGAUGUCGCGGAGCAAAGUGCCCUACUUUUGGGCCUCGUAAUCCCUUGAAUUCUGAGUUUAGUCCAAAGAUCUUGUAGGAACUUAAAUUAAUGACCCAGGUGAUGUGCUUGAUGCCCACUGUUAAAGAAUUAAAGGCAUUUUUCAAAAUUUACAGUCCUUCAAAGUGAGCUUUCCGUGUGAUUUUGCUAAAAAUGGACAAAUCCCCUAGCCGCCCCAAAUUUUAGCGUACCCCAAAAUUGUUCGACGUGCAUAAGGGGAUCAUAGAUAUGGUGUUCUGUAAAAAUUUUGAACCAAAUCGAACAGAUAGAUUCUGAGAUAUCGCUGUAGACAGAUUUGGGGGACGCCUGACGGACGGACACACAUUUUUUCAAGUAUGGUUAUUUUGACUCAUGGGACCUUAAAACGUCUAGAAAUGAUGAAAUUUCAACUUUUUUUCUUUUUUCUUGGAGGAUAACAAUACUUCCUCUCUACCCUAUGGGAGCGAGAAAGUAAAAAAAAAGGAUAUGGAGGGAUCCUAUUGGUGGAAGCGGUGGGUUGCAAUGAACAAGGGAGGUACUUCGGUAAUAGACUAACUUACGACAACGCACGAGAGACCCGAUAGUUAGUCCAUCGUUUUCUCUCUUAGUCUAUAAGAACCACCUAUUUCAACCAAUGGGAUCGUUCCAUGCUCCUUGUGUCUUCUUUGUCUAUUGCUUUGUCUAUCAAUUUCAACAAUCAGCCUGCUGGCCACUAUGAGGCCCAACCGUAUAGAUAAGCGCAUUGUGUCCUUUGCACCGAAAAAAGAACUUCCGUGAUAGAGACCCAACUUCGGCUUAUAUUGAACUCCG
rnacentral:lncRNA from 1 species